UAAGUGAAUUAUUACAUAAUAAGUAAAUACACAGAUACAGAAGGCAGAUUAGUGAUUGGUGGAAAAUGGGGAGAUGAGGUCAUCCCUAAAGGUAUGGGGUUUCUUUCUGAGGUGAUGAAAAUGUUCUAUAGUCGACUGUGGUGAUGGUUGCACGUAUCUGUGAAUGUACUAAAACCCAUAGGCCUGUACAUUUAAACAGGUGAAUCGUAUGGCAUGGGGAUUCUAUCUCCAUAAAGCCAUUUAAGGGAAAAUAGCCCAGCAUGCCAUGCCUGGCAAGGUACCGUGGUUCGGUCUCAUGAAGACUGAGCAGCAGAGGCCACGCGGUGCCGUGCAAAGAGCCAGAGCUCUGGAACCAGUGACCUUGGACCACUUGUUUAGCCUCGCUGAGUCCUGGUUCCCAGUCUGUAAACUGGGGUGAGUGAGCCCCCCUUACCAAGUUGUUGCCUAUAGGAAAGCCCCCAGCCCCUCCAGUUCUUAGAGUCCCUGGUUUUGAAGUGUGAGGCCUGAGUGAGGAGGUAGAGGUGGGUGGUGUCUAUCUGUGGACAGAGAGGUUUGCCUUGCAUUGAAGCCACACCCACAAGGGAUGCGUCUCUCCUGUGUGGACCACAGGCUGGUCAGCCAGAGGGCUGGAAGGAGAGCUUGAGGAUUCACUGUCCCCUGUCACCUGAGAGACCCCAAAUAAGGGAGACUAGGUGAAAGUUAGAAAAGAGGGGGAUUUGCGUGAAUUCUAGGGACAACCCUGCUGCCCUUGGAAACCGGUGGGAACUAGAACCAGGAGAGAGGCCCAUGAGGGAGCGAAGGGGAGGCCGGCCUCCCCUGGAAAUGUAGCUCUUUUUCAAGGUGGUAGGAUGGGUUGGAUAAUUCUGAUAUAUGUCUUCCCAACUGUGAAGCAUCUGCCAAAAAUACAGAGAUGCUUUUCGAAAAACAACUGGGGGAUGGAAAGAGGCAUAAAAAAGCUAAACAAACAAACAAAAAAAGCAAAACCCAAACAGUUUGAUAACAGAGGUACUUAAAUGCUAGGAAAAUGGUACUAACAUGUCAACCAUAGUGGUAAAGUACAAGUUCUGUAUUUAUGAGUUUGCCCACUCCCUAAAAUUGACUUGUGAUUCCAAAAUCACUACUUACGGUGCAUUUGAGGUCCUUCAAGGACAUGAGCCGAGCAGCAAAAAAUUUGAGUCGCCCAAUGCUCAUGUUCCCAGCUGAGGUCAAAAGAAUGCUCUGCCUUCUGAUUUCAGCUCUUAUACUGUAAACAAGUGUUUGGUCUGGUUCGGUUGUACUCUAUUUGUGCUGUGUUUUGGGCAUCGUUUUGCUUUUGAUUAGUGAUUUGGCUACAUAAAACGACCCCAAAUGUAGUGCUGAAGUGCAAGCUUUCCUAAGAAAGCUGUAAUAUGCCUUACAGAGAAAAUAUGUUAAUCACUAUUCAGGCCUGGCCCGGCAGUGAGUUCAAUGUCAAUGAGUCAACAAUAUACGUUAAAUAAGGUGUCUUUAAACUGAAACACACAUUUUAAAAAGUUACGUAUUGAUCGGCUGACAAAAAUGUUGUGACCAGAAGUUCACACGCACCUAACCCUGUACUUCCUCCAGGAACGAUAGUUCAAGUAUCUGCUAUCCAGUGUUCAAGUCUUUAUAGACCACAACUAUUGCAAACAUGAGAAAUGGCCAUGCAUGCUAUGUGUUUUUAAUGCAUUAUCUUGUUUUAAUGCUCGCACAGCAGGUAUUACCUUUGUGCUACGGAAAAGAAAGUCGAGGGGGGCCUGGGUAAGCUCAGUUGGUUAAGCGUCUGACUGUUGACUUCAGCUCAGGUCAUGAUCUCAUGGUUGUGAGAUCUCAUGGAGCCUGCUUAGGAUUCUCUCUCGCUCGUUCGCUCUCUCUCUCCCCCCUCCCCAUCCCCCUCCUCCUCCUCCCUUUUCUCCUCCCCCCUACAUGGGUUCUCUCUCCCUCCCUCAAAAUAAAGGAAGUUGAGGUUAUAUAUUGGAUAAUGUGACGUAGAGCUCACGUGUGGAAGUGGUAGGAUUUGAAUCCAUUUCUCUCUAACUCUUCAGGGAGGAAGGGAACUCUAGCACUUGAGCUGGAAUGCCAGUUCUUAGAAAAGUGUGGCCUGGCCCAUAUUGGGGCCAGUGGGAGGGCACAAGGAGAGCUGAGUGUGGUCAAGAACAGGGCAUAUGUGAGGAAGGAGGGUGAGAGAACUGCGCACAGUCCUCCAGAUGUGGUCCAGUCAGGUUACGGCUGGACAGCAGGGAAAAGAUGAUCUGCAACCGGCACAGAAGAGAAGCACCAGAAUGGAGAGUCUGGGGCCCAGCCACACCAAGAGAGAAGCAAUGGAAGGACCAGGAGAUAUUCUGCCUAGAAAUGAGAGUGUGGAGACAGACAGGAGGGAUCUUUAAAUAUCUAAAGGGCUAUCUUGGGAAUGGAGAACUAGACGGAAAGCAGAACUGGGAUCACAGGUUCAGAGUUAUAGGAAGCAGAUUUUGACUCUACGUGAGCAACAUUUUCUGGUAUUCGGAGCUUUCCAACAAGCCGAGAUCGGGUACUGGUGGUCCAUCGGCUAAAUCUGGCUGCAGACACAUUUUGUCGGUUCACAGUGUCUUCUGAAAAAUUGUACUUAAAUGCCCUGCCAUGGGACACAUGUCUGCAAUUACCAGAACCUGAGCCCUGUGCUCUUUGUCCCACGUCACUCAUGUGUAACUUGCCCUUCAAGUAUCGGGUUGACUGAUCUAGCAAAGACAAAUACAGGAUGCACAGUUAAAUUUGAAUUUAAGACCGAUGACAGAUACUUUUUUAGUAUAACUAUGUCCCAUGCAAUACUUAGGAUAUAUUUAUGCUGUAUUUAUAGUUAGUUGUACCCCAAUACUUGCGAUUUACUAACACCAUCCCAUGUUCAAUCUGGAAGCCUUACCCUGGAGUCCUUAAAUAGGAGCCCCUGAUGCUGCAUUUUGAGGAAGUGGGUUCUAUCUUUGGGAGAUAUUCAAAGACUUAGAGGAAUGCUAGGGAUGGAAACAGCCCUAAAAUGGUCUAAAUAUGCCCUUGCCCUAUUUUCUUGAGAUCCCCUGUUUCACAGAGACAAAACAAUAAAAGCUAGAGGGAGAUAAUAAUUCUAAAUAACAACCUAGGUGCUAUUCUGGGUGUGCUUGACAGGUGGGACUCUGGCUUGUGCUGUAACAGCAGAAUGUUCUAGCAGAACUGGGAUGGAUUGACAGAUAAAGACAUAAAGUGUUUUUGACCUCAAAUAUCAACUGCUAGUCAAAUUCUUAAGUGCAAGCCGAUUGAUGUGUGUGCAGCUGGGGAGAAUGGUGGCAAUCCCUUUCUGGAUCAGGGCAUGAGCCAAGAGGCGUCUAACAUUCCCAAACGAUAAUUCUGUUUUCUCUGUCAAAAGCCAUCUUCUAUUUCUCUGAGACUGGGGUAAGUCAUCCUGACACUUGUUUUCCUAUCCUGCUGCCAGAACUGCUUUUCUGGUUGUUUUGAACAGACCGUGACCGACUCACCAGGGACUGGAACAUGGCAGUGGUUGACAUGAAAGCAGAAGCUGGCCCUCAUGCACUGUUACCACAGCCUCAGUUUCCUCCGCAGAAAAGGAGGGGCAAGAUCUCGGAGGUCAUUUCCAGAAACUGGGCCGCUGAAAAAAGACUGAACUUGAAGUUGAGAAGUAGCUGAUCCAGGAACCCCUGAAUCUGAAGCAAGAGCCUUCAGGUGACUCAGGACUCCACCAUUUUCUAGUGAUGGCUGUUUUCAUUGUCGGUUCUCUCUUUUUUGUUUUUUCUUAAUAUUUAUUUUUGAGAGAGAGAGGGACAGAGGAUUCUAAGUGGGCUCCAUGCUGAUAGCAGUGAGCCCAUUGUGGGGCUUGAACCCAUGAACUGUAAGAUCAUGACCUGAGAAAGUCAGAUGCUCAGCUGACUGAGCCACCUAGCACCCCUCAAUGUCCAUUCUUGAUAGGUAUUCUGUCUCCUCCAUGAGACCUUCAGGGGACCCUGCCCUUUCCACCUUAGAUUCCUCAAGGUCUUGUACUUCCAUUAUGCAUACAGACCCCAGGCCAGCAUGUGUUGAAUGAAUGAGUUGGAAAUGAAGGGAAAGACUAGGAGCCGUGGAAACAUCAAUAUCCUGGACCAAACUCUGAUUUGGUCACCAGCUGGUGAACUUGGGCAAACUUCUAGUUUCUCUAAGCCUCUCCAUUCUUAUUUGUAAAAUGCAAAUAAACCACCUCUCCUACGGGGCUGUUGUAAAAGAGAAAAUGGAAUAAUGAAGGCACCCAAAAAGUAGUAGCUAUGAUUACUGUACCUGUUGAAUCAACAUAAAACUUAAGCAAGGAGAACCACCACGUGGCAGUCUGAUUUUCUAACUUCUAAUGCGGUCCCAUUUUGUCUGGCACAACGUCCCAGACUGGCAAUCUGAAGGAUGAGUUGCUUUGUGUCGCUGCCCUCUGUGGUGGGCACUAUUUUGCCGGUCCCUGAGAGUGUCUAAGAAGAGGCAUUACAAUCAACAGUGGAAUGCAUGCCAAUUGUUUUUAUUAAGGAUGCCUAUUUGGAUGACAAGGCCAGCCGGCAGGUGGCCCCCAGGAAGCAGCUUGUGGCCCCAUCCCUGUCAUUACUCCACGAUGCGGCGGAAAGACUGCACAGCUGGGGAGGCUGCGCCCCAAUCGAUGGGCUUCCGGUACUCCUUCUUGUCCAGGAGGUACUGCCUGCCACGAUAGUUGGGUAGCUCAUAGAAAAUCCAGGCACCCUCCAGCACCUUACUGGAGUGGACCUCCCGCAUGUGAAACUGUUCCAUAAUGGAAGGGCAAUCUUCAGUGGUUUCAUACAUCUGACCAUUAAAAUCUCCUUUCUCGAAGAUCUGAAUCUUA